AGGAUAAACGCUGGCGGCGUGCCUAAUGCAUGCAAGUCGCACGGAGUGUCUCUUCGGAGGCAUUGAGUGGCGAACGGGUGAGGAACGCGUGGACAACCUACCCCGGCGUGGGGGAUACCCGCCAGAAAUGGCGGCUAAUACCGCGUACGGUCGUCGAACGAAGGGUUUGACGAAGAAAGCAGUAAUGCGCGCUGGGAGGGGUCUGCGGCCGAUUAGCUUGUUGGCGGGGUAAUGGCUCACCAAGGCGAUGAUCGGUAGCUGGUCUGAGAGGAUGAUCAGCCACACGGGGACUGAGAGACGGCCCCGACUCCUACGGGAGGCAGCAGCAAGGAAUUUUCCGCAAUGGGGGCAACCCUGACGGAGCAACGCCGCGUGACGGAUGACGCCUCUUGGGGUGUAAACGUCUUUUGCCGAGGGAGAGAAUGGACGGUACUCGGCGAAGUAAGGACCGGCUAACUACGCGCCAGCAGCCGC
rnacentral:rRNA from 1 species